rnacentral:tRNA from 1 species
GUUUAGAUAGCUUAAAUUAAAGCAUAGCACUGAAAAUGCUAAGACGAACCUUAAAAAGGUUCUUUAAACA